rnacentral:rRNA from 1 species
GACGAACGCUGGCGGCGUGCUUAACACAUGCAAGUCGAACGGUGAACCUCUUCGGAGGGGAUCAGUGGCGAACGGGUGAGUAACACGUGGGCAACCUGCCCCCGGCUCUGUGAUAACUCCAAGAAAUUGGGGCUAAUACCGUAUGUUCACCGCUUCCCUCAUGGUUGGUGGUGGAAAGGUUUUCCGGCUGGGGAUGGGCCCGCGGCCUAUCAGCUUGUUGGUGGGGUAGUGGCCUACCAAGGCGACGACGGGUAGCCGGCCUGAGAGGGUGACCGGCCACACUGGGACUGCGAGACGCACCAGACUCUGACGGGAGGCAGCAGUGGGGAAUAUUGCGCAAUGGGCUGAAGCCUGACGUAGCGACGCCGCGUGGGGGAUGACGGCCUUCGGGUUGUGAACCUCUUUCAGCAGGGACGAAGAGCAAGUGACGGUACCUGCAGAAGAAGCACCGGCUAACUACGUG